GAGUUUGAUCCUGGCUCAGGAUGAACGCUAGCGGCAGGCCUAAUACAUGCAAGUCGAGGGGUAACAGGAAGUGCUUGCACUUCGCUGACGACCGGCGCACGGGUGAGUAACGCGUAUACAAUCUGCCUCAUACUAGAGGAUAGCCCGAAGAAAUUUGGAUUAAGACUCUAUAGUAUCAUUUAAAGACAUCUUUUUAUGAUUAAAGGUUACGGUAUGAGAUGAGUAUGCGUUCUAUUAGUUUGUAGGUGAGGUAACGGCUCACCUAGACUGCGAUAGAUAGGGGCCCUGAGAGGGGGACCCCCCACACUGGUACUGAGACACGGACCAGACUCCUACGGGAGGCAGCAGUAAGGAAUAUUGGUCAAUGGACGAAAGUCUGAACCAGCCAUGCCGCGUGCAGGAUGAAUGCCCUAUGGGUUGUAAACUGCUUUUAUAUAGGAAGAAAAACUUUCUCGUGAGAAAGCUUGACGGUACUAUAAGAAUAAGGAUCGGCUAACUCCGUGCCAGCAGCCGCGGUAAUACGGAGGAUCCAAGCGUUAUCCGGAAUUAUUGGGUUUAAAGGGUCCGUAGGUGGAUAAUUUAGUCAGAGGUGAAAUCCUGCAGCUUAACUGUAGAAUUGCCUUUGAUACUGGUUAUCUUGAGUUAUUAUGAAGUGAUUAGAAUGUGUAGUGUAGCGGUGAAAUGCAUAGAUAUUACACAGAAUACCGAUUGCGAAGGCAGAUCACUAAUAAUCAACUGACACUGAGGGACGAAAGCGUGGGUAGCGAACAGGACUAGAUACCCUGGUAGUCCACGCCGUAAACGAUGGUCACUAGCUGUUUGGACUUCGGUCUGAGUGGCUAAGCGAAAGUGAUAAGUGACCCACCUGGGGAGUACGUUCGCAAGAAUGAAACUCAAAGGAAUUGACGGGGGCCCGCACAAGCGGUGGAGCAUGUGGUUUAAUUCGAUGAUACGCGAGGAACCUUACCAGGGCUUAAAUGUUUAGUGACAGAUCUAGAAAUAGAUUUUUCUUCGGACACUAAACAAGGUGCUGCAUGGUUGUCGUCAGCUCGUGCCGUGAGGUGUCAGGUUAAGUCCUAUAACGAGCGCAACCCCUGUUGUUAGUUGCCAGCGAGUAAUGUCGGGAACUCUAGCAAGACUGCCAGUGCAAACUGUGAGGAAGGUGGGGAUGACGUCAAAUCAUCACGGCCCUUAUGUCCUGGGCUACACACGUGCUACAAUGGUAGGUACAGAGAGCAGCCAAUGCGCGAGCAUGAGCAAAUCUAUAAAACCUAUCUCAGUUCGGAUCGUAGUCUGCAACUCGACUCCGUGAAGCUGGAAUCGCUAGUAAUCGGAUAUCAGCAAUGAUCCGGUGAAUACGUUCCCGGGCCUU
rnacentral:rRNA from 1 species